rnacentral:lncRNA from 1 species
CUGCAUCCCCCCCAUCACCACCCCCUCCCCCACCCAGCAACCGCCUGCGAUCCUUACACGUUUUUUACGGGCUAAUCUGAAAUUGCCUGCCCUAGAAAAAUGGUUGAAUUCAGGGUGUUUCUGAGCUUUCGAUUCUGCGCCGUGUAAAACAGAUUUCAUUUAGACAAAUUACCCACAUAAUCCAUCUUUUCUGAAUGCCUGUUAGAGAGCAGCUGCAAAGAGGACUGCCUUCUCCUCCUGUUUUCAGAGCAUUUGAAAGUCACUGGCUCCUUAAUCCUGGGAGAAGCAGGCUCAAAGCCUCCAAGCCAAGAGCCAAUAAACACGCCUGGAUUCCGGGCAGCCGUCACGCAGAGCCACGUGGCCGCCCAGCCACCCCCGGUCUUUGGCCCUGACCGUGCUUUUUACCUUGUGCCUUGGGAGCAGGUGAGUGAAAUAGAAAUCAAAGCAGCUUACGUUGCUGCGAGAAAAGAGCUUGGGCACCUAUGAAGCGUUUGAUCCUAUACUGGGUGGAGGAGGGUGGAAGAGGAUUAAGAAGCAACAAUCCUGUUCCUCAAGGAACUAACCAUGUAGUAGUAGCAGGCGGUAAAAUUAAUAUAUUUGAAUAGUCAGUAAACAAAACAAGUCUUCCAAGACCACCCAUUACGGCUCCCCCUCUGUGACUCCCACGACUCCUGCUUUAUUUUUGUUAGAGGGAAUUCAGACAAAAUCAUGUUGGUCCACCCUCACACACAUUUUAUUGUUGACGAAAUCCAGGCCUAGGGAAACCAAAGUGAACUAAGUCACAGAGCCAGCAAGGAGUGGAGUGAGGACUUGAAACCAAGUUCCCUGUCCUCUUUUUGAGAUAUUUGUUUAAUAGGAAAAUUAGUAUUUUUCCCCUCAUCCCUUAAAAAGAUUUCCCCUAUUCUAGGGAUGCCUGGGUGGCUCAGUGGUUGAGCGUCUGCCUUGGGGGGCUCCGGAUCAAGUCCCCCCCCUUGGGGUCCCCACAGGGAGCCUGCUUCUCCCUCUGCCUGUGUCUCUGCGUCUCUGUGUCUCUGAUGAAUAAAUAAAUAAAAUCUUUUUUAAAAAUCCCCCUA